rnacentral:rRNA from 1 species
AACGCGAAGAACCUUACCUACCCUUGACAUGGUCGGAAUCCUGCUGAGAGGCGGGAGUGCUCGAAAGAGAACCGGCGCACAGGUGCUGCAUGGCUGUCGUCAGCUCGUGUCGUGAGAUGUUGGGUUAAGUCCCGCAACGAGCGCAACCCUUGUCAUUAGUUGCUACGAAAGGGCACUCUAAUGAGACUGCCGGUGACAAACCGGAGGAAGGUGGGGAUGACGUCAAGUCCUCAUGGCCCUUAUGGGUAGGGCUUCACACGUCAUACAAUGGUACAUACAGAGGGUUGCCAACCCGCGAGGGGGAGCUAAUCCCAGAAAGUGUAUCGUAGUCCGGAUUGGAGUCUGCAACUCGACUCCAUGAAGUUGGAAUCGCUAGUAAUCGCGGAUCAGCAUGUCGCGGUGAAUACGUUCCCGGGCCUUGUA